rnacentral:rRNA from 1 species
UACGUAGGGCGCAAGCGUUGUCCGGAAUUAUUGGGCGUAAAGAGUUCGUAGGCGGUCUGUCGCGUCCGUUGUGAAAGCCCAGGGCUCAACCCUGGGUCUGCAGUGGAUACGGGCAGACUAGAGUCAGGUAGGGGAGAACGGAAUUCCUGGUGUAGCGGUGAAAUGCGCAGAUAUCAGGAGGAACACCGGUGGCGAAGGCGGUUCUCUGGGCCUGUACUGACGCUGAGGAACGAAAGCGUGGGGAGCGAACAGG